AUUCCAGCUCCAAUAGCGUAUAUUAAAGUUGUUGCGGUUAAAAAGCUCGUAGUUGGAUUUCUGCUGAGGACGACCGGUCCGCCCUCUGGGUGAGUAUCUGGCUUGGCCUUGGCAUCUUCUUGGAGAACGUAGCUGCACUUGACUGUGUGGUGCGGUAUCCAGGACUUUUACUUUGAGGAAAUUAGAGUGUUUCAAGCAGGCACACGCCUUGAAUACAUUAGCAUGGAAUAAUAAGAUAGGACUUUGGUGGUCUAUUUUGUUGGUUUGCACACCAAGGUAAUGAUUAAUAGGGAUAGUUGGGGGUAUCCGUAUUUCGUAGUCAGAGGUGAAAUUCUUGGAUUUACGAAAGACGAACUACUGCGAAAGCAUUUACCAAGGAUGUCUUCAUUA
rnacentral:rRNA from 1 species